UACGAAGGGAGCUAGCGUUGUUCGGAAUCACUGGGCGUAAAGCGCACGUAGGCGGAUGUGUCAGUCAGGGGUGAAAUCCCGGAGCUCAACUUCGGAACUGCCUUUGAUACAGCACGUCUUGAGUCCGAUAGAGGUGGGUAGAAUUCCUAGUGUAGAGGUGAAAUUCGUAGAUAUUAGGAAGAACACCGGUGGCGAAGGCGGCCCACUGGAUCGGUACUGACGCUGAGGUGCGAAAGCGUGGGGAGCAAACAGG
rnacentral:rRNA from 1 species